ensembl:lncRNA
AUCUACAAAAGAUUCUGAGAUUUUGAUAAAAAUUUGGGGAGAAUUGACAUUUUCAGUGUGUUGAAUGAGUCCAUAAGUACACUCUUUUUCUGUUUGUUUAGGUCUUCUUAAAAUUUAUCAGAGUGCUGUGGUUUUCUUUUUUUCACUUUUAAUAUUUUUGGUACAAUUUAGAUUUACAUAAUAAUAACAUUCAUCAUAGGGAAUUUGUACCUUUACAUGGUGUACUUUGAUUCCUUUUUUCCCUUUCCCCUCCCCUUCCAUCAACCCCUUUUCCCCUUCCUUAUUUAUAGAAGCCCCGUUUCCAUUAUUUCCUUCUUUUCUCAUUGUGAUUUUCUUCGUACAAGUCCUGAACAUGGUUUUUGUUUUUGUAUUUUGGUACCGGGGAUCGAACUCAGGACCUUGCGCUUGCAAGGCAGGCAGUGGAACCACUGAGCUAAAUCCCCGGCCCCAUGAACAUGGUUUUUUAGAUUUAGAUUGAAGGUUUUAGGUUUGGGGAUUUUUUUUCCAAUUUGAAUCGUUUUAAGUUUCUAAUUUCAAUUGCAACAUAUUCAGUGCUAGUCUAUAGAAAUAAGAUUGUGUGUAUGAAUUUUGCAUCCUGUGACCCUAUUAAAACUCUCUAAUAAGUUAUUUCCUUCUUUUAUUUCCUGGAAUAGAUGGUAUAAAAUUGCCUAUUCUUUUGUUUGGCAUAAUUCAGUAGUGAAACCAUUCAGGCCUGGAGAUUUAUCAAAAUGUCACCAAGGCAGUAAGGAACCAUUCCCUCACUGUAUCCUCAACUUCCUUGGACCUCAGUUCUUUGUGCCAUUAAUGGGAGACAUAAAUCCCCAUUUAUUGUGUGCUGAGAGAAUGAAGGUUUCCAUCUUCAUAUAGCUACUUUCUGCUGAAAGGAGUUAUAGGCUGUACUUGGGAUUAUGUUUUCUCCAACUACCUUAGAAUGUUGUGGUUCACUGGCUAGGUUGAAAUAAAAACUUGUCAGAAGACCAUAACAAAGGGGUUACUGUCUAUAUGUAAAGGACUGAUGAGCUGCCUGUUUGAUGGGAGACAGCUUGAUGAAUUUGUCAGGAGAGUUACUUUAUUAUUAGGUUGGGGAUAUAGAGCCCAGAUACAAGAAGGAGCAGGUCAGAUUCCCGUAUUUCCUGUGGAGGAGAAAGUAUGGCAAGAGGGAUGUUAGAUAAAUUAUCAUGAGCCUGAGAGCCAUAGCCCUAGCAAGAUUAGCCAUAUUAUGGAGCUAAUUAAACACAGGAGUCUCAAUGUAGGUCCCCAUUUAAGCUGUGGUGCAUUAGGGUCAUUAGUGAUUGUCUUUAUGUGCACCUAGAGUAGUACUGAAGUUUUGCUUUUUGAAGAGGAACCUCAGGUCUUCCAGAGGUUCAUAGUAGAAUCUUUGUUCUUUGGGUAGUCUUUUUCUUCAGACAGUUCAAGUGAGACUGGCUUUUUUCCUAUAAAGGUAAAUCCAGCUGCUAUAUCUGUCUCUACCACCUUUACUAUACUGGGCGUGGCAAGGAUCACUGAAAAGGAUCCCUUCCAUUAAUUGGUUGCAGGAGUUCCUUCUUUCCAAGUUUUAAUGAGCACUUGGUUUCCACGGUGGACACUAGAUUGUGCCCCCUGGGCCAGGAGCUGGCAGGACUUUGAUCCCAUACAGUUGAAUAACCUGUUGUAAUUGACCCAAGUUAAUAAGGUACUCUAAGGGUCUUAUGCCCUGGGUCUUCUACCAUAUCAGAAGAUAGAAAAGCCCUCCUGUAUAACAUCUCAAAUGGACUCGUAUUUAGCCCAGUUUUAGGGAUAUUUUGAACCUUCAUGGGUACUAUUGGCAAUAAUUAGAGCCAAGUCUCUUGGCAAAGUUUUACCAGAGUUCAUUUUAGGAUUCUGGUUUCCAGAAGACUGAGGUCUCCAUGUAGAAUAGAGGUGGUACUUUAUUCCUAAAGUCUUUGCCACCUCCUGAGUUAUUUGAGAGGUAAAAGAAGACCCAUUGUCACUCUGAAGGGAUUGGGGUAGUCCAAACUGGGUAAUGAUUUCUUUGAGGAGCACUUUAAACAAGUAAGGAAGGUUUCAAUCCAGCCUGUAAAAGUGUCAAUUAGGACCAAUAUUUGUUUAAAUCCCCGCAGGUGGGUAAAGUCUAGUUCCUAGUUCUCUUCAAGGUAUGUCCUCCUCUGUACAGGUUCUAACAAAGGAGGUGGUUUGGGCUUGCCAGGGUUACCGUAGGCACAGAGUAGACAAGCUUUGUAAUCCUGUCAGGUGGUUGCCACUAAUCCUAGUCCUGCAAAAAAUUUGAGUGACCAUUUCCAAUGUAGGAAUCUCUUGCCAUAUGGAAAGAAUCAUGAAGUGUUUUAAAGCCUUCUAAUGUGUCCCUUGAGGAAGUACCAGUUUGUUUUCUAAAUACCACCGGAGUCCCUCUUUAAUCCGCCAUUUUCCUAAGGCCCAUUUAUCUGGGGGAAUAUAGACUGAUUUUAAUAGUUCCACAGGAACUAGGAAUAAGGCUAGGGUCUUGAGGGUCUGUAAGGCUGCUCUUCUUGCCUCCCUAUCAGCCUUUCAAUUUCUCAGGCUUUAGACAUGUCUCUUUGGUGUCCCUUAUAAUGCAUUACAGCACCCUGCUUGGGAAGAUAGACUGCCUCUAGGAGUUGUAGAAUUUCCUACUUGUGCUUUGUAGAUGAUUGCUCAUUAGUUAAUAAGCCCCUUUCUUUCCAGACUGCUGCAUGAACAUGUAGCACCAAAAAAGCAUAUUUGGAGUCUGUAUAGCUAUUUAGCUUUUGGCCUUUUCCUAGUAUCAGUGCCCAAGUAAGAGCUAUGAGCUCUGGUUUUUGAGCAGAGGUCCCUGGGGAAGAGGUUUUGCUUCAGUGACUUGUGAACUGACAACUGUAUAACCUGCCUUUUGAUGUCCUUCAAUAAAUCUACUUCUGCCUGCAGACAUCAAUGAGGCAGGAUUAAGAGUAGUAUAAGUCUUUAUGUUAACAUCAGGGGUAUCUAGAAGGAUGACCUGGCAUAGUCUCAAUAGAUAAAAUCUGCCUUGGCCUUUGCCAAAAUUGGAGAAUUGCCCCCAAUUUACUAGUAAAUAUCUAGUAAAUAUCUUCCUAGUAAGGGAGUAGGACACCAUGGAACAAUUAAAAGGUCACAGUUAAACAUUCAGCCUUGAAGUGGCAUGUCAGAGCAGGUAUAAAGAAGCUCUGACUAAGAACCCCCCUCAACCCCAAUUAUGGCUAUAGAUCUAGAGGAAGGAUUUCCAGAGAAGGAAGUUAAAUCAGAAUGAGCUGCCCCUAUAUCUGGCAGUAACUGAAUUGGCUCACUUAUGAUAUCCAGAGUCACCUGGGGCUCCUCACAGAAGAUAGUAAUGUCCAUGGACAAGGGCAUUGCAGGUUGCCCUGGCCCCUUCAGUCAUCAUCAGAAUGGAAGAUGAAGGUUUUGGCUGGCCUAGCCCUUCUCUGGGAGGAGAGACAGUCAAUCCUCCAGUGCUGUGAGUCAGGCACAUUGGCCACCUAACACUUGGCACAGAGCAUGGGUGGUGGCUUAAUACAGUCAUGUGUCCAGUCUUCUUGUAUUUAAAACAGGAACUCUUGGGCCAGGGAUUUAGCUCAGUGGUUCUGCUGCCUGUCUUUCAAGCACAAGGUUCUGAGUUCAAUCCCUGGUACCAAAACAAACCAAAAAACAGGAACUUUUUUCUUGAUUGUCCUUAGAUUUUUCUUAGACAGCUUGAGUGUGCUUGAAGUCUUUACCAAUUGUGACAGCCAUAAUUCUGGCCCUUCUCUUCCAUCUUCAUCUAGAUCCUGAUUGUUGAACACAGAAAAGGCCAUGUCCAGCAAUUGAGUCAUAAGGGUCCAGGGCCUAUCUGAAGAUUUUGUAAUUUAUGCUGAAUAUCUGGGGCUGACUAAUGAAAAGAUGUCCCCUCAGUGCCUGUCCCUGCUUGGAAGAUAGAUCUAGAACCCUGAUGGCCUUUGAAACAUCCUUCCUCAGUACAGUACCUGGCCACAGCCAGUUGAGAGAGAUUGUCAUGGGUUGGUGACAACACAGUACCUUGCUGAAAUACCUUGCCCAGCUGCAGGCUCACUGCCUCCUCCCCUACCAUAAGAACCUUCUGUGCUCCUGAGCCAAGCUGGGAAGAUAGAGCUAAGCCCUGUUCUUCAGGGCUGGCUUUGAAUAUAUCUGAUUCCUUCCUACCAGCACUCAUCUAGGUAUGGAACAGCUAGAACCUUUGAGUCCAGUAGCAUCCAGAAUCUGGAUAGUUUGGGGUUACCUUAAGUCUCUCUGUACUCUCUGAUUUGUUUCUCAAACCAUUUAGUUUAGCUGUAAUAGUAAUGUUGAUAUUAUUAACACCUAUCACACAGUAAACACUCUCAUUAUAAAAUAUAGAGGUCUAACUACAUUUAAUCCUCAC